rnacentral:tRNA from 1 species
GCUCAGGUGGUGGAAUUGGUAGACACGCAAGACUUAAAAUCUUGUAUCCAUUAGGAUGUGCGGGUUCAAGUCCCGCCCCGAGUA